rnacentral:rRNA from 1 species
AGUGAACGCUGGCGGUAGGCCUAACACAUGCAUGUCGAACGGCAGCACAGUAAGAGCUUGCUCUUACGGGUGGCGAGUGGCGGACGGGUGAGGAAUACAUCGGAAUCUACUUUUUCGUGGGGGAUAACGUAGGGAAACUUACGCUAAUACCGCAUACGACCUACGGGUGAAAGCAGGGGAUCUUCGGACCUUGCGCGAUUGAAUGAGCCGAUGUCGGAUUAGCUAGUUGGCGGGGUAAAGGCCCACCAAGGCGACGAUCCGUAGCUGGUCUGAGAGGAUGAUCAGCCACACUGGAACUGAGACACGGUCCAGACUCCUACGGGAGGCAGCAGUGGGGAAUAUUGGACAAUGGGCGCAAGCCUGAUCCAGCCACACCGCGUGGGUGAAGAAGGCCUUCGGGUUGUAAAGCCCUUUUGUUGGGAAAGAAAAGCAGCAGGUUAAUACCCCGCUGUUCUGACGGUACCCAAAGAAUAAGCACCGGCUAACUUCGUG